CUAACAACACACAACAUUCCAGGAAUGUACUACCAAAGUUCUAUCAAUAUUUGAAUGUCCUGGACAUUUAGGGAACAUUCGGUGAACAUCUGUUUAAAUUAUUCCUGGAAUGUUACCAUAAGACAUUCUGUGAACAUACUACCAAUGUUCCUAUAUUUUAAGUUGCGAAAUAAUACAUACGUGUAACAGGUACAACAUUACUUAUAACAUACCAGACAAACUAAGUGACAUUUUAGGCCUACAGUGCAAUAAUAUGUCAAAUUUAAAGAGUUUCCCAAGUUCAAUUAAUACAAUAUUAUAAACAUACAAAUGUAAUAAAAAUUAUUGUUCGCGAAUAUUCAAUUUGGACUGCGAUUUUGUUAAUAAAAAAAAAUACUUAUAACUUAUGCAAAACCCAAGAGAGGUAUUUAUAUUUAUUUCUUUUACGUUCAUUUUCAAAUUCGCCGUGCAUAUAUUUUUGUGCAUGGCGCUUGAGAGGGCAUCACGUGACUAAAAACGACCAACCAACGACCUCGCUUCGGCCAUCUUGGCAUCUUCAUCUUGACCACCUUGCCUUGCCGUGGAUCGUUGUUUGUAUUGUUUGUGCUUUUUAAGAAUAUUUUUUUAAUUCGGAUACUUUUAUAAUAGCUUUAAUAGUAUUAUUAACAUAGUGCAUAAAAUGGUGUCCUGUUUUUAACGCAGUUGGAGUAGCAGAAACAAAUGUAGAUAAAAAAUCUGCAGGAAUAACGUUUCAAUUAUGACAGAAGCUCGAAACAAAUGACUGAAUGAAAAGCCCUAUUAAAAGCUUUCCAGAAGAUCCUGCGAAGAAAAUAUGAAGUAUAGAUCAGAUUUGUUAAUAGACGAGUAUGUUCAAAACACUUUUUAGAAAAAGAUAUUGACAGAACUUCACUUUCAUCUGUUCGUUUGAGAGACUGUGCUGUUCCAAUAGUUUAUGUCACACAGAAUCAGCUGAGAGAAGUGGUCUACAAAAAACCAGAAAGGAAACGGAAUAUGUGGCUACGAAAAGCAAAAGAAAGGUUUACAAAGCAAAUGUGACACAUUUUUUUAUAAUAUUUAGGA